rnacentral:rRNA from 1 species
UACGAAGGGGGCUAGCGUUGCUCGGAAUCACUGGGCGUAAAGGGUGCGUAGGCGGUCCGGUAAGUCCGCUGUGAAAGUCGGGGGCUCAACCCUCGAAUGCCGGUGGAUACUGUCGGGCUAGAGUGCGGAAGAGGCGAGUGGAAUUCCUGGUGUAGCGGUGAAAUGCGCAGAUAUCAGGAGGAACACCUAUUGCGAAGGCAGCUCGCUGGGACGUAACUGACGCUGAGACGCGAAAGCGUGGGGAGCAAACAGG